CCCAGACUCCUACGGGAGGCAGCAGUGGGGAAUAUUGCACAAUGGGGGAAACCCUGAUGCAGCGACGCCGCGUGAGUGAAGAAGUAUUUCGGUAUGUAAAGCUCUAUCAGCAGGGAAGAAAAUGACGGUACCUGAUUAAGAAGCCCCGGCUAACUACGUGCCAGCAGCCACGGUAAUACGUAGGGGGCAAGCGUUAUCCGGAUUUACUGGGUGUAAAGGGAGCGUAGACGGUGAUGCAAGUCAGAAGUGAAAGCCCGGGGCUCAACUCCGGGACUGCUUUUGAAACUGUGUGACUGGAGUGCAGGAGAGGUAAGCGGAAUUCCUGGUGUAGCGGUGAAAUGCGUAGAUAUCAGGAGGAACACCAGUGGCGAAGGCGGCUUACUGGACUGUAACUGACGUUGAGGCUCGAAAGCGUGGGGAGCAAACAGGAUUAGAUACCCUUGUAU
rnacentral:rRNA from 1 species